GAUGAACGCUGGCGGCGUGCCUAAUACAUGCAAGUCGAGCGAACAGACGAGGAGCUUGCUCCUCUAACGUUAGCGGCGGACGGGUGAGUAACACGUGGAUAACCUACCUAUAAGACUGGGAUAACUUCGGGAAACCGGAGCUAAUACCGGAUAAUAUAUUGAACCGCAUGGUUCAAUAGUGAAAGACGGUUUUGCUGUCACUUAUAGAUGGAUCCGCGCCGCAUUAGCUAGUUGGUAAGGUAACAGCUUACCAAGGCAACGAUGCGUAGCCGACCUGAGAGGGUGAUCGGCCACACUGGAACUGAGACACGGUCCAGACUCCUACGGGAGGCAGCAGUAGGGAAUCUUCCGCAAUGGGAGAAAGCCUGACGGAGCAAAGCCGCGUGAGUGAUGAAGGUCUUCGGAUCGUAAAACUCUGUUAUUAGGGAAGAACAAAUGUGUAAGUAACUAUGCACGUCUUGACGGUACCUAAUCAGAAAGCCACGGCUAACUACGUG
rnacentral:rRNA from 1 species